rnacentral:misc_RNA from 1 species
GUUUGCGCUGAUGGAGCUGUCUGGUUCUCAUUAUGCUGCUGUUUGCAUGGAAAAAGACACAAGCUUUAGAGGAGCGGAGAGUAUUCCCAUGAAGUUAAAUGUGUGGAGAACAAUUCCAUACGUGGAAGAUGAAUGUGUUUCUGGAACCGAGGCUGCUCUAUCGAUUGACGGCUUUGCUCAAACAAAUGUGAAGUUUUCCGAAACUCGAAAUAUAUAAAUAUUGAAUUCUAUUAAUCAUGUUCGAUUCUUCUUUCUUGAUUAUACAUCCCUAGAACUAUCCCCAAAAUACUCCGUCGAGGACGUGGUAUCAGGUAUUU